rnacentral:rRNA from 1 species
GCGCGGAACCUGAAAACCUAGUCUCAGUUCGGAUCGGAGUCUGNAACCCGACUCCGUGAAGCUGGAUUCGCUAGUAAUCGCGCAUCAGCCAUGGCGCGGUGAAUACGUUCCCGGGCCUUGUACACACCGCCCGUCAAGCCAUGGGAGCCGGGAGUGCCUGAAGUCCGUGACCGCGAGGAGCGGCCUAGGGUAAGACCGGUGACUGGGGCUAAGUCGUAACAAGGUACC